rnacentral:rRNA from 1 species
UGGGGAAUAUUGCACAAUGGGCGAAAGCCUGAUGCAGCAACGCCGCGUGAGUGAUGAAGGUCUUCGGAUUGUAAAGCUCUGUCUUUUGGGACGAUAAUGACGGUACCAAAGGAGGAAGCCACGGCUAACUACGUGCCAGCAGCCGCGGUAAUACGUAGGUGGCGAGCGUUGUCCGGAUUUACUGGGCGUAAAGGGUGCGUAGGCGGAUGUUUAAGUGAGAUGUGAAAUACCCGGGCUUAACUUGGGUGCUGCAUUUCAAACUGGAUAUCUAGAGUGCAGGAGAGGAGAAUGGAAUUCCUAGUGUAGCGGUGAAAUGCGUAGAGAUUAGGAAGAACACCAGUGGCGAAGGCGAUUCUC